UACGUAGGUGGCAAGCGUUGUCCGGAAUUAUUGGGCAUAAAGCGCGCGUAGGCGGCGCGGUAUGUCGUGCGUGAAAUCUCCCGGCUUAACUGGGAGGGGCCGUGCGAAACUGCCGGGCUUGAGGUCAGAAGGGGAAAGUGGAAUUCCGGGUGUAGUGGUGGAAUACGUAGAUAUCCGGAGGGACACCAGCGGCGAAGGCAGCUUUCUGGUCUGAUACUGACGCUGAGGCGCGAAAGCGUGGGGAGCGAUCCGG
rnacentral:rRNA from 1 species